GGGAUGAAUGUUCUUUCUAUGCAGGUCCUAUAAAAUAUUCUUCUAAUCAUGAUAGGAACACGUCCUCACUACAACAAUGAGCGCAUCUACAGGCUAAGGACAGAGCAAGAACUGCAGCACUGCUGACUGCUCUAUGGUGCUCGAUACCAACGACAAAAGUGGCAUAUUUGAGCUGUUAAUGAAUUACUAAGAUGGCUGUGAUUUGUGAAUUGCAUUUUUUUAGUUGUUAAGGUUAUUGACACUUGCUAACACCACUUGAAUACUAGGUAGUCAUCCCCAGC
rnacentral:lncRNA from 1 species